GAUGAACGCUGGCGGCGUGCUUAACACAUGCAAGUCGAACGAGAAGUGGAGACGGAAACCUUCGGGCGGAAGACUUUAUUUCGAGUGGCGGACGGGUGAGUAACGCGUGGGUAACCUGCCUCAUACAGGGGGAUAACAGUUGGAAACGACUGUUAAUACCGCAUAAGACCACAGCACCGCAUGGUGCGGGGGUAAAAACUCCGGUGGUAUGAGAUGGACCCGCGUUCGAUUAGCCAGUUGGGGGGGUAACGGCCCACCAAAGCGACGAUCGAUAGCCGAUCUGAGAGGAUGACCGGCCACAUUGGGACUGAGACACGGCCCAAACUCCUACGGGAGGCAGCAGUGGGGAAUAUUGCACACUGGGGGAAACCCUGAUGCAGCGACGCCGCGUGAGUGAAGAAGUAUUUCGGUAUGUAAAGCUCUAUCAGCAGGGAAGAAAAUGACGGUACCUGAGUAAGAAGCCCCGGCUAACUACGUG
rnacentral:rRNA from 1 species